UACGUAGGGGGCUAGCGUUGUCCGGAAUCAUUGGGCGUAAAGCGCGCGUAGGCGGCCCGGUAAGUCCGCUCUGAAAGUCCAGGGCUCAACCCUGGAAUGCGGGUGGAUACUGCCGGGCUAGAGUCCGGAAGAGGCGAGUGGAAUUCCUGGUGUAGCGGUGGAAUGCGCAGAUAUCAGGAGGAACACCGAUGGCGAAGGCAGCUCUCUGGACCACAACUGACGCUGAGGCGCGAAAGCUAGGGGAGCAAACAGG
rnacentral:rRNA from 1 species